rnacentral:rRNA from 1 species
AAAGGAAUAGACGGGGGCCCGCACAAGCAGUGGAGUAUGUUGUUUAAUUCGACGCAACGCGAAGAACCUUACCAGGGCUUGACAUCCUCUGACGGCUGUAGAGAUACAGCGUCCCUUCGGGGCAGAGAGACAGGUGGUGCAUGGUUGUCGUCAGCUCGUGUCGUGAGAUGUUAGGUUAAGUCCUGCAACGAGCGCAACCCCUAUGGUCUGUUGCCAGCAAGUUAAGUUGGGCACUCAGGCCAGACCGCCGUUGACAAAACGGAGGAAGGUGGGGACGACGUCAAAUCAUCAUGCCCCUUAUGUCCUGGGCUACAAACGUACUACAAUGGUCGCGACAGAGGGCAGCCACACCGCGAGGUGGAGCGAAUCCCAAAACGCGGUCCCAGUUCGGAUUGCAGGCUGCAACUCGCCUGCAUGAAGUCGGAAUUGCUAGUAAUGGCAGGUCAGCAUACUGCCGUGAAUACGUUCCCGGGCCUUGUACACACCGCCCGU